rnacentral:lncRNA from 1 species
AAACCGGUAUAAGUGCAAAGAGCAGAGCCAGCUCCUCCCCGGCUCUUUCCCCAGGCUGUUCUUCCUGCUUUUUGAUCUCAACCUCACUCUACUCCAUCCCUUCUUGAUCCAAGUCCAGAGUCUUUCACACCAGCCAUGCUGCCAGCAUUGUCGGGAGGUUUGAUGUGGUGUGAAUUCCUGCCCCUGGGAGAUGGACGGAGAAAUUCACAGAAUCUUGGGAAAAGAGAGCUUGGGAAAAUCCUAAAGUCUCUCUUUGCAGCCUUUCUUCUACCAACAGACAAGAUGGAAACUGGCCAUUUCAGAGCACUGGCUUCAAGGAUGUCUAAGGGUAGAGAUUCCUUGUGCUUGUGGGCAGGGGCUCAUUUCUGUGUGUUGUUCCAGAUGGUCCAGGUUCUUCUGUCUGUCCCAUUAAAAUGUAUCCUUCUUGA